UACGUAGGUGGCAAGCGUUGUCCGGAUUUACUGGGCGUAAAGAGCGCGCAGGCGGUCGUUCAAGUCGCGUGUGAAAGCCCCCGGCUCAACUGGGGAGGGUCACGCGAUACUGAUCGACUCGAAGGCAGGAGAGGGAAGUGGAAUUCCCGGUGUAGUGGUGAAAUGCGUAGAUAUCAGGAAGAACACCUAUGGCGAAGGCAGCACUCUGGGACGGUACUGACGCUGAGACGCGAAAGCGUGGGGAGCGAACAGG
rnacentral:rRNA from 1 species